AGUAACGCGUGGGUAACCUGCCUCAUACAGGGGGAUAACAGUUGGAAACGGCUGCUAAUACCGCAUAAGCGCACAGUGCUGCAUGGCACAGUGUGAAAAACUCCGGUGGUAUGAGAUGGACUCGCGUCUGAUUAGCUAGUUGGUGGGGUAACGACCUACCAAGGCGACGAUCAGUAGCCGGCCUGAGAGGGUGAACGGCCACAUUGGGACUGAGACACGGCCCAA
rnacentral:rRNA from 1 species